rnacentral:ncRNA from 2 species
GUUUUGCGCCUGAAAGGGCGACGGUGUCGAGCCGGAGCGAGAAGUCAGCAGAGGUCGUAGUAGGGAGCAGGUAGGUGCGAACGAAGGGC